rnacentral:lncRNA from 10 species
CCCAACCUGACUGCUGUGUUCUGCCCUGAGUCUGCAGAGGCUGACCCUGGCCAGGAAAGUGGUUGGAAAAGCAUUUUUGCAGAGAGGCAGCCUGAAGGUGGUGGCUCUAUGUAAGUGUGCACCCUUGGUUGGAAAGGCUGAAGGUCAGGAAUGGUAUUAGGAGAAAGUUCCCCCUUUCUCCUUUGUCCCUCCUUCCUGCCCCUGGACACAGGCUUGAGGAUCUGCAUCUGGCUGGCUCACCCUUCCUGCACAACUUUUCUAUUCAAGUUUUUCAGGGCAGGGCUUUAAGAAACACUUCAGGUUAAUUAUAGCCAGGGGUCAUUUUCUAUACAAGCGGGACAAACUUGAUGUGACUACAGGGCUGUCUCCAGGGCUGAUUCAUUCGACCUAGAAAACUGCCCCUAGGGAAACAGCCUCAGAAUCUUGCCUGCAGCUCUGGAAGUGGUAAUGGGCCCACCUGUCUCCCUGCCCAUCAUCUCACAUCUGGGGGAAUGUCUUGGCUAGCAGCAUGGCCCUGAGUGAGGGGUUUAGGUAAACAAGGUGUGACUGGGAUUGGAAGAGUCACAAACCUGUUUGUUAGAGCAAUGCUGAAGAGUUUCAGGAAAAGAAUUUCAUCAAGGCUGGCACAUCUGUCCUCAGACACUUGAAGGAUUCCCUGGAGGAAGGAGGACUGAACUUGCCCUACAAGAUCCUGCGGGGCAAAGAACUGUAAGCAGAGACAAAAUGAAAGCCCUCUAGGCCCACAAUUGAUUCUAACGGCUGUGAGGGAAUGAGCUUCAACUACUGUUGAUGGGAGGGACUGUGUGCCAGGCACUGUGCUAGGGACUCUCAUGCAUGAUCUCAUUCAUCUUCUGCAUAACCCAAUGAGGUAUGAUCUACUAUCAAGUGUCUACAUUUGUAUUGGAUUGGUAUGUGUGCCCAACAAAGAAAGUGUCAUUUUUCCUUGGGAAUGAAAUCACAUCAUUUGUGAAGACUUAGUAGAGGCUAAAUGAGUACAAGCAGCAUUUACCUUAUUAAACAGAUAUUUUCAACAUUUAAAACAGUCUGACCAUCAAUGAUGAUGUUCAAAAACAUCUCAAGAUGUUUUAGAGCUAAAGCAAAUGAGAAAAUAUAGUAAAGGGCUGAUUCCUGUGGAUAUUCUGCAAAGGAAAGUAACAUGGUGGAGUGGAAGUGGGAUAAGGUUUGAAGCCAAAAGACCUGGUGGGCUUAAGGUCUCCAUUUAUUGGUUGUGUGACCUUGGAUAAGCCACUUCACCUCCUGGUGAGACUUGGGCAAAAUGGAGAUCAUAUUAAUCACCUCACAGUUUGUUACGCAUUGAGUAAAUGCACAUGUAAGCAUUAUUGACUGUAAAUGAUUAUGCAUAUUUUAAUUAUGGUAUAUCCAAGCCUGAUUUUUCAUCCAGUGCUUACAGUGCCCUGGGCAUAAUACUCAUUCAAUAAACAUUUGUUUGAUGAUAGAGUAAUAAAUGAAUAUGUGAUGCAGAAGUUUUAAAAAUAUUUUUGCUGCUGUCUGACUCAUUUAUAGACAUUUAUAAAAUUGAGGAUUUGUAAGUUGUCCCUGGACAAUCAGAUCUCUUGAUUCAAAGGUGAAAGAUAAUCAUUCAGGUUUUCAAGUUUUUCCUGAUAUGAGACAUUAACUGGCAGGGCUGAUUAUGAGAAAUUGUCAUUAUCCUGCUCAAAUAUAAGAUCAUAGAUUUGGGAAACCUUAGAAAUAAUUACCUUCUUUUCAAAUAUGAGGAAACUGAAGCCCAGAGGCUCUAAGAAAUCAGGGACUUUAUAUAAUUUUUUCAUUUCUCUAGCUCUAGGGUAAUUGUAGAUAGAUAUACAACAAGUAUGUUUUUAAAAGUAUAUUUUUCAAGAAUUAUGCUAAGCACUGGGGAAAUAAACAUUAACAAGACAAAACCCUCCCCUUUGAGGAACUGAUAAUCUAGACAGACAUGAAAACCAGGAAGUGUGCUAUCAGUUAUAUUAAUGUUGUACAGAGUUCUAGUGGCAAGAGGGAACUGCCAAGGGAAAUCUGAGAGGAGGUGUUUACCCUGCGUAAACACCUUGCUGUUUAGCUUGGCAUCCCUAGAAGCAGACCCUGAGGACAGUGGGAAAAUGGAUUAUUAAGGAAGUGCUCCUGAGAGAAACCAGAAAGGGGGUGUAGGGAGCAAGGGAGGAUAAGGAGAAGACUCCAGUAAGGAUGAGAUUACUCAAGUCCCAUGGAAGACAGGUUAGCCUGAUCCUGCAGGGGAGCCCUGGAGGACUUAACAUCUCUGGAAAGCCAGAAAUCAGAGAUACAGAGAAGUAUUGAAAUGCUGAAAUGCUAUGAAUUUACUAUAAGAGAACAUUCUUCACUGAAGAGAUCUCUAGCUGCCAAAACACCCUUUCAUGCGUGAAAUACCGGGGCAAAGAGGAAGGAAAAGAGAAGAGUAUGACUCUAGGAACCAUGUUGCAGAAAUGCCAAAGGGUGGGACAAACAAAUAUAUUUAUAACAUAAAUGAGAACCAAGAAGACAAACAAACCAAAUCUCUGGGGAACAGAAGCCACUCUACAAAGUCUUCACAACGGAGCUAAUAUUUGAUUUGCAUUUUGGAGGAGAAAUAGAAAUUUGCUCAAUGGACUGAAGUGUGGGCAGGAGAAAAAGGGAAUCCUUGGCAGAAACACCGUAACAUGGAAUGGUGAAAAACAAAACAAAAUACAAUGAGAUUAAGGAACUGCAGAAAUACUUCUAAACCUGGAACAUAGGGUAUAAAAAAGGAAGACUCAAGAUAUGGUUCCAAGUUCCUUAGACCGUGGCUAUAUCAUGAAGAGCCUUAGAUGGCAAAGUAAAAAGUUUGAAUUUUGUAUUUUAUGAUCCUUAAAGUGCCUAGGAAAAUAUUAACACAUAUGAGCUAUCCAUAUAAUCGUUCUUGAACUGAAAUUACAAGUAUAUAGAGUAUGUGUCAGGAGGCUCUGAACUGGUGCCUGUAACUUUAUGAUGAGCUUACUGUUUUAGCUGCUGGAACAUUUUAGCACCUUUCUUGACCUAUUAUUACAUAAGUUUUUGUUGCCUUUCAACUUUUCGGAGAACAAUUCUGCCAUUUCUUUUUGAGUUUGAGCAUUUUCCUACCUGCACAAAGGGAAGAUGAGGUAUGGGCUGUAAUGACUUUGGAAGAUCCAAAUAGCUAUCAUCUUGGCUGGAGAGAGGGUGACUUCCAAGCAAGGGCCUGUGCUCUGGCCUCACUCUCUGCGGCUCUGCAACAUGAGCCUCAGCAUCCCCUGUGCUACUCACUAGAAAGUGGACCUGACAGCUUUGGCAGAGUUACUAAUGUGGAGAAAGAAGAUUAUCAUGUGUGGAACGAAGGACAAUAUGAACAUUAAAUAAUGCCCUGACUCAUUCCAAAAAGAAUCUGAGAUGACCAAUAAAGCCAUUUUUAAUUGUUUAUUAGUGAACAAUAGAUUAUGAGUGCUAAAGGGAUUCAGGAAGAAGAAAGAUCAGUGCAGAGUAGAGAAGUCUGAUGGAUGCAUUGAAGAAGCUAUGCUUGAGCUGAAAUGACAAGAGAGCUGUUUUUCGCUUUCAGAAUUAUUAUGUGGCAAUGGUAAUUGACAACAGAGAAGCUGAAGGUAUGAGGACAAGGGUGUCUUAUCUUUCCCCAGAAGUCUUGCUUGGCCCAUGGGAGAAUACAGGCCUGCACCUUGGACUUGGAGUCAGUAGAUUCCUUCCUGUGAUUUUUUACAAGCUCAAACAUCCCCUGACUGAGUCAUUCACCAGAGAAAGAGGCUUUUCAAAUGAUUUGUGCAUUAGCUAUAGUCUGCCUUAUUCAACCCCAUUUUAGUGUCACAAAAGCUUCUUCUUCCUACAUUGUUAGAGCCUUUUUGACUUUUCUGAAACGACAUCUGCUCACCUCUUGGGUAACACCCUGCAGGGCUCAGUCGAGCUCAGUCACCCUUCACUUUUUUUUUUUUUUUUUUGAGCCAGUUUUGUAAGGUGCUGAGGGAGGUUUGUAUUAGUCCUUGUUGCCCCUAGAAGAAAUAACAGCUAUAAUUUUGGCCCCGAAGAAAAGGAACAGGUAUGACUAUUCUCUCUCUUUCUCUCAAACCACAAUCUACUCUAGGGAGGAAGUCACUUUAUGGGAGCAGAGUCACUCUCAAGUAAUAGCUGGCCAUACAGAUUGCUCUGGACCAAGGGUGAAUGUGAAGAAGAAAAGACCGGCCAGCAACACAAUGGAAUAUCUAGAGUCAUAUUGAGGGAAAUACUUAGAUUGCUGAUUUCUUAGUGGAUUUCACAAGCAGAGCUGCUUGUGAGCAGAAUGGUGAAGUAGGGGCAUGUGUUUCUGGGGUCUUAUUCCAUGGCUUCCUUCCACCUACAAGAGUCAUCCUCACGGAGUACUUGCAUUUCAGUAGAAGAAAAAAAUCUUAUAGAUGGAAGGGAAGGAUGGGGUUCCUGCUUUAGGAAGAUUGGCAUGGUCAUAAGUCUGAGCAAGGAAGGGCCCAGGGCAGCUCAGAGCUCUGAGCAGGAAGCUCUAAUUAGUUACUGAAUAUGGUGCAAGCACAAAGAGAGCGUAGUGUUUUCCCUUUCCAUCUGUGGAAGUCUUGGCCAUGCUUACUUGGGCGUUCCUUCCAGGAAACAUUUAUUUUUCCUCUUUAAUGCCCUCCUCAUAUCUAUGCUCUCAGUAGAGGAUGCCACUGCUUCUGGCACCUGGAUAAUAGAAUGAAGCUGAUUGGGAUGGAAACAGAAAAGUCAUCUCUCAGAACAAUGAGCAGAGACUGAAACUCCCUUGUACCCAGUCCCUGUGCACUGCUGUUCAUAGCCAAAUGGGCAAGGCCUUGCCAAAUGUCAUGUUGAGGUGAGGCCCUAAGUGAUAGAAAAAUAAAAAAUGACUAUGGCCACUUGCAUGUUCAGAGAAUUCAGUUUAGAAAAUGCUAUGCUGGGAGGAUCUCUCUUAAUAUCUUGUUUGCAUCAGAAUGUUCAAGUUGCAAUAUAUGUUUUUGUUUUGUGUAUUUAUUUAUUUUCCUCUACUCUAUUCUGUUAAGUCUUUUAGGGCAAAGGUAGGGUAGUCUAUACUCCCUGCGUUAUCCAUAAUGCCUAGCACUGUGUCUUGUACAUAAAAGGUCAUAAUAAAUACCUGUUGGCUAGAUAGAUGAAUGGAUAGAGUGCCUCAUUUAGAAGCAUUAUACUUCUAUGGAAAAAAAUUUUUAAAUGUAUUUUUUUCUAUGAGAUAACACAGUUCCUGAAUAGGUCAUGGGCAGGUGCUAUUCAAGUUUGCGAAGGAAAGGUUUUCCUAGAGUUAGGGUAAUUUUUUCCUCAAAUAAGAAAAACCUACAGUAAAUAAUUACUCUCCAUAUUAUCUUUAGGUUUCUUGCCAGUAUUAACAUCUUUUUUAUUGUAAGUGAUGAUAUUGUCUGUGAGAACAUUACAGUAGGUUAGUAUCCUGGGUUAAGCUAAGUGUUGUUGAAAAUAAUCCUGGACAUCCAAACAGGAAGAGAGGAAGUCAAACUAUUCCUGUUUGCAAAUAACAUGAUUCUAUAUCUAGAAAACCCUGUAAUGUCAGCCCCAAGGCUCUGUGAGAUCAGAGAUAAAUAACCUCAGCAAAGUCAACAUACAAACAUCAGUAGCAUUCCUUAUACAAACAACAUCCAAGCUGAUGGCCAAAUCAGGAUGCAAUCCCAUUCACAAUUGCCCCCCCAAAAAUAUAAAAUACUUAGGAAUACAGCUAACCAGGGAUGUGAAAGAUCUCUAUAAUAAGAAUUACAAAACACUGCUCAAAAAAUCAUAGAUGACACCAAAAAUUGGAAAAAUAAUCCAUGCUCAUGGAUUGGAUGAAUCAAUAUCAUUAAAAUGGCCAUACUGCCCAAAGCAAUUUACAGAUUUCACAGAUUCAGUGCUAUUCCUAUCAAAAUAUCAAUGACAUUUUUCGUGGAAUUAGAAAAAACUAUUUUAAAAUUGACAUGGAACCCAAAAGGGACCCCGAAUAGUCGAGGCAAUCCUAAACAAAAAGAACAAAGCUGGAGGUAUUAUAUUACCCAAUGUCAACAUAUACUACAGGGCUAUAGUAACCAAAAGAGCAUGGUACUGGUACAAAAACAGACACAUAGACCAAUAGAACGUAAUAAAGAGCCCAGAAAUAAUGUCACACCACUUACAACCAUCUGAUCUUCAAUAAAGCUGACAAAAACAAACAAUAGGGAAAAGAUUCCUCAUUCAAUAAAUGGUGCUGGGAUAACUGGCUAGUCAUAUGCAGAAGAUUGAAACUGGACACCCCACCUUACACUACAUACAAAAAUCAGUGUAAGAUGAAUUAAAGGCUUAAAUGUAAAACCUAAAACUAUAAAAACCCUGAAAGAUAACCUAGGAAAUACCAUUCUGGACAUAGAACUUGGCAAAGAUUUCAUGAUGAAGACAACAAAAGCAAUUGCAACAAAAACAAAAAUUGACAAAUGGGAUCUAAUUAAACUGAAGAGCUUCUGAACAAAAAAAGAAACUAUCAACAGAGUAAACAGACAACCUACAGAAUGGGAGAAGAUAUCUGCAAACUAUGCAUCCAACAAAGGUCUAAUAUCCAGAUGCUGUAAGGAACUUAAAUUUAUAAGCAUAAACAAACAACCCCAUUAAAAAGUGGGCAAAGGACAUGAAGAGAUACUUUUCAAAAGAAGACAUAUAUGUGGCCAACAAGCAUAUAAAAAAUGCUCAACAUCACUAAUCAUUAGAGAAAUGCAAAUUAAAACCACAGUGAAAUACCAUCCCACACCAGUCAGAAUGGCUAUUAUUAAAAGUUGAAAAAUAAUAGGUGCUAGCAAUGUUGUGGAGAAAAGGGAACACUUAUACACCACUGAUGGGAAUGUAAAUUAGUUCAGCCACUGUAGAAAGCAGUUGGGUGAUUCCUCAAAGAACUUAAAAAAACAGAGUUACCAUCCAACCUAGCAACCCCAUUAUUGGGUAUAAUCCAAAGGAAUAUAAAUUGUUCUAUCAUAAAGACACAUGCACAUGUAUAUUCAUUGCAGCACUAUUCGCAAUAAGAAAGAUAUGGCAUCACCCUAAAUGCCCAUCAGUGGUAGACUGGAUAAAGAAAAUGUGGUGCAUAUACACCAUGGAAUACUAUGCAGCCAUAAAAAACAAUGAGAUCAUGUCCUGUGAAGCAACAUGGAUGGAUCUGGAAGCCAUUAUCCUAAGCAAACUAACACAAGAACAGAAAACCAAAUAUGGCAUGUUCUUACAAGUGGAAGCUAAACAAUAGGAACACAUGGAUAUUAGAAGGGUAACAGAAGAUAUUGGGGCCUACUUGAGGGUGGAAAGUGGGAGGAAGGAGAGGAUCGGAAAAAUACCUAUUGGGUACUAUGUUUAUUACCUGGAUGAUAAAAUUAUCUGUCACCAAACCCCUGUGACAUGCAGUUUACCUAUAUAACAAACCUGCACAUGUACCCCUGAGCCUAAAAUAAAAGUUUAAAAAAAAAAAAGAAAAUACACCUGGACCCUAUUUUGAAAGACAUACUGUAGACUUGAGGGAGGAAGAGCAGAGGGAUGGAAAGGGCCCCGAAUUACCCACAAGCCAUGUGAAUGCUUAAGCAGUCAUGGACCACAAUUCUCACCACACACACACACACACACACACACACACACACACACACACACACACAGGUCUGAACCCUUACCCCUGUCUACUACUUAUUGGAGCUUGGUAGAAAAAAAGUUGUGAGUGACAGAAAAGUGAGAAAAAGAGAAGAAGAAGAAAAAUUGGAAAGUGUGGAAGAAAAAGUGGCAAAUGCAAGCAGCCCUUAAUGGAACUGUGCUGAAUUGAGAGACAGCAGAAGGUAACAGCUGGCUGGGACUUGGCCAUGAAAGGUGGAAUGUGAGGAGACAAAUGAAAUGGAAAUGCAGGAAAGAAUGGAGUGGCAAAGGAGGCUGGAGAUGGGGCAGAGGAUAGCAAGGGGAGAGAAGGAAGCACAGAAAGGGUGUGGGGGACAGGCCAGAGAGUAGAAGGCUAGAUGGAACUGACUGAUGCCACCAGUCAGAGAUGGAGACCAUUAACAAUGUGUAGGGAAACCCCUGCCUUCCCAAUAAUGAAAAUGCAGGUUUAAUCAGUACCAAGGAACACUGUGAAGUAAGGGCAUUGACUUGGGAAGUGAAAGCCGAAGAUAGAGCAAACCCCAUACGGCAUAUCCUAACUCGCCAUUUUAACAGCAGAAAGACUCGAAAAUACAAAGCAAAGGAUUAUCCAAAGGGCUUUUUAAAAUAAUGCUUAAAAUUUUAAUCUUGUAAAUAUAUUUCCCUUCCCAGUAUGAAAAUAAUUCCGAGUAUAAUCUUUAUUUACUUUCCCCUUUUUAUUUUAGAAGAGUAAACAUAGCUUUAAGAAUUAAAAAAAUCAGUUAAUAAUCUGACUUUUAAGUCAGCUGUAAAAAUGUAAGUUUCUAGCUCUGCCACUUUUUAGUAGUGUGACUUUGGGCAAAUUGCUCAAAAACUCCAAAUUCUUGUUUCUUUACCUACAAAAAAGGGACAAUAAUACAUACCUCCUAUGAUAGUAGAAAAUUACGUGAAAAUAUACUCCAAGUAUCUCAGAGGGCUUGAUUUCCAGAAAGCGCCCAAGCUCAAUCAAUAGUGACGUUUACUAUCCACGCAGCCAGUUCUACUACUGGGAGUUGGUUGGUGCUGAUAAAGCUUUUUGUCAGACUUCUCACAAUUUCCAUUGUGAGAAGAUGUAGCUUCCAAUUAACUCUGUCACUGAUUGUUGGGUAACUUUGGGCCAAAUGCUGUUCCUUAAUGAAUGUGGGUGUGAAACUUAUUAAGAUUAAUGACUGUCACAGCUGUUAGCCAGAUGUUUACAUAAUUCCCUCUGUUUUACAGCAAUCAUAUCAGAGGAAAGGGGUUGAAUGAUAGAAUUAGAAAAAUAAGUACAAUAUUGUGGGAAUGAAUAAAUGUUGUUUUGGAGGGUAGGAGAUUAAAAUCCUAAAUGUAUUUUGAUUAGGCUAAUAUUAAAAAUUAGCAUCUGUAAAUCAGUAAUCUAAUUGAAGGAAUUUUUUAACACAAGUGACUGGUGGAGGGGACACAGCAUGGGAGGGCAUGCUUACAGCAAGAGCUCCAUUGAUUAAAUAGUCCCCUGCAGAACACAGAGAGUUAAAUACGUCUUUAAUAGCCUCCAGCAUGAAAGGGCAAAUCAUUUGUUUUAAUUGAGGAAGGAUAAAAUAUUUUUGCUUUACACAUAUAUGUUCUAUUUUAGCAUCAUAGUUAUUUUUAUAGCUGUUAUAACUUCACAAAACCUAAUAGGAAAAUAAAUCUGAAUCCAGAAGAGUUCAAUACUUUCCAGAGGAGUCUAGUAAAUAAAAACUCUACACUGACUGACUGAUCUUAUUCAUGCACUGCUCCUAAACCCAAACUCUCAAGUGAAGGGAAAAGAGGUUAAUUCGUUGGAAUAAAUUCAUGGGAUUUUUUUUUAAAGACACAUCCUGAAUCAAAGUGAUUAAAACAACAAAUGGAUAAAGGGUAGAGCUGUGAGAGGACAAGGUUUGCAUUACUGAGCAUCUUGAUUAUGUGGGGAAGAUGGGAAACAGAUCUUGCCCAUUCUGGUCUCAAACUACUAAAUCCUGAGAAUGCCAAGAGGCGAGUCACUGAAGUCAGAAGUUGGAAACAUGGCUAAGCUGUCCAGAGUGUGGAACACAUGGUCUCUGAAGGUUUUUAUUAGUGUGUGGGUGAGAGUUCAGAAGCUCUACUAAUUACUUUUGUUUUCAGAAUUUAUAAAGUUAAGACAGAAAGCGGAAUAUUAACACUUCACUUCCUCGUGCAGUCAUUAAUUUACUCACUUAGCAUACAUUUAUUCAUAGAAGCUUAUUGGUACCAAGUAUACCCUCAAUGAGCAACCAACCCAAAAUUGCAAAAGGGAGAUCAAACAGGGAAGCUGUGGUAGGAAGUAUCAUGGCCUCUUCAAAGAUGUCUAUAUACUAAUCACAGAAUUUAUGUAUAUGUGAUGCUGUAUGUCAAGGGAAGAUUAAGGUGUGCAGAUGGAAUUAAGGUUGCUAAUCAGCUGACCUUAAAAUAGGAGUACUAUCUUGGAAUAUCUGGGUGGGCUCAAUGUAAUCACAAAUGUUCUUAACAGAUAGAAGAAGAAGGCAGAGGAGUCAGUGUUGGAGUGAUGCCAUGUGAGAAAGACUCAACUGGCCAUUGCUGGCUUUGAAAAUGGAAGGAGGCAUAAGCCAAGGAAUGAAUGCAGGUGCCUCUAGAACCUGGAAAAAGCAAGGAAACAAAUUCUCCUCUAGAACCUCCAGAAGGAAUGCAUUCCUGCCAACACCUUGAUUUUUAGCUCGGUGAGACCCAUGCUGGACUUCUGACCUGCAGGAUUGCAAGAUAAGAUAUUUGACUUAUUUUAAGAUGCUAAGUUUGCAGUAAUUUGAUAUGGUAGCCAUCGGAAACUAAUACCGAUGCCAAAGCAGUAAAGCAGGAAAGCACUCCAAAAUCACAGGAGUGAGAGGAGCAGAAAUGUCCUAGGAGAAGACAAUGUUUCCUUUUGAAAAGGAAAGUUUACUGGCAACUUCCAUUUGAAUUUCUUAAUUUCUUUCCUCAGUGGCAGUCACUACUUCCAAGGUGGCAGGUUCCAGAGCUGAUUCAUUAUAUAAUCUUUUCUCAGGAGUAUUCUAGCCACCUUUAAAGAAGCUAGGGCCAUUUUCCUGACACUGCAUCAAGGGGUAAGGUUAGUGGUAAAGAAACCAUGCGGUAGGAAAGGCCAACUUUCUCCCUACAUAAUCCAAUCGCAUUAUCUCCAGACUUGCUCACCCUCUGCUCUUUGCAUACUGCAGCUCCAGAGCUUUCAUACCUACAGACUUCCUGGAGUUAAGACUAAAACAAGAGUUGUGCUACAGACUACCGUUCCUAUUAUCAUUUUUUGUGUCCUGCUGAGUCCUCCCCUCUUGGCAACUUCAGGACCACCCACUGGGAAGAUAAUAUACAACCCAUCAGGAAACUCCCAGUGCCCAUCGUGGAGGCCAAGUGCUGCCAACUCUGAUUGCUUCUGGAAUGCCAUUUCUUCCCUGCCCUUUCAAUAUUCUUGUUAUGCGACUCCUAUGAUCACUGCCAAUCUGUAGAAAAUUACAGGAUGAAUUUUUGUGAAGGACUGAAUUUGCAUACUGGUCUUUUGUUGUUUAUUGUUGGGGGGAUUUUGCUUUUUGCACACAAUUUCUGCACAUUUUAUUGGAAGUUAUUGGGUUAGAUUCAUCCCAUUCAUUCACUAGCCUGGCAUUGCUAUGCAUGUGCUGUAGGGGCUUAGCAUUAAACGAUUUUCUUUGUUCAGAUUUGGAUUGCUGUCUCUGCUUGCAAAUUAUUUUUCACAAUGACUCCUUCUUUUCCUUCUCUCUCUCUCUCUUUCUCUCUCUCUCUCUCUCACACACACACACAGACACACACACACACACACACACACACACACACACACACACACAGAUGAGGUUAGAUAUUUUUCCAUUGCCAAGUUCAGGACCCAUGAAUAC